rnacentral:lncRNA from 1 species
GAACCGGGUACUUCUUUCACCAAUAUGAGCACAGUCAGAACGAGGUUGUUUUUCCUAGUGAAGAGCACAAGAGCACAUUCUCCCAAGUUUUCUGUUCCUCAAAUACUACAUACAAGAUUAAGCAGCAUUACAUGUAAACAAUAUCCCUUGAGCAUAUACAUUCAUGACAUAAAGAGACACUAAAUUAAAGUGUCUGAUGAGUAUUGUCAAGUCUUUCUUGCCAAAUAGAAUGAUUUUGUUGAAUAGAUACUCUUGGCCUAGAAAUGUGUUAAACUAUUCCUGAGUUUUCCCAGCUGUCUCACACUGACAGUGUUUCAGGUAGCAAGACUUAUGUAAUUUCCGUCCCAAUAAAUAUAUCUUAAAAGGAAGUGAUGUCAGUGACAUUAAAUUACAGCACAGCUUGGGUGUCAAUGCCACAGGAAAGAGGAGAGAUGGGAAAAUAAAGUGUUAUCACUGAGCAAGGUUUUAAAACGUAAAAUUUCCCAUGUACUUUAGACAAACAUAAAUCUUUGGGCAACCAGAAAGAACUUAAAACAUUCUGAUCCAAAGGCCAUAGUCCAAAUCUUUUUAUAGAUUCCUCAGGAAAAUAACUUAGGAUAGAUAAAAGUUGUCAGUGCUUUUUGUAAACAAUAAAGUUACAGUGAUUUUUAAAUGAAGCGAUGAGAUGAAAAUAAAAGACUAAAACUCUUUAGAAUAAUGAUUUAUGAGUAAACCAAGGCAAAGCUUCAUUUCAAUUUGGAAUAA